GGUAAAUAGCUAAAUAAAGUAUAUUAGUUACAUUAAUAUGAUAUCUAUUAAGAUUUUACUUUU
rnacentral:tRNA from 1 species